rfam:Ictidomys tridecemlineatus contig072723, whole genome shotgun sequence.
GGGGAUAUAGCUCAGCUGGUAGAGUGCUCGCCUUACAUGCAUAAUGCCCUGGGUUUAAUCCCCAGCACUACCA